rfam:Apaloderma vittatum contig4641, whole genome shotgun sequence.
UAGCUCAGUCAGUUGAGCGUAGCGUUAACAACGCUAAGGUUGUGGGUUCGAUUCCUGU